rnacentral:lncRNA from 1 species
UUUAAUCAAAAUCAAAUUUUAAUUAAACACUAAAUUAGAAACCAAUUCUAACUUAAAUUGAAUUAAGAUUUUAAUUUAGGAUAAAACUCCUAAAUAAAAUAAAAUUCAAUUUAGGGUCAAAGUUUAAUAUUUAAGUCAAAAUCCAAUUUUAACUAAAAUAUAAAAUGUUGUCAAUUUUAAAUAAAAUUUUAAUUUGGGUCAAAAUUAAAUUAUGGGUCUAACCCAUUUAGAAUAUAAUUUUAAAAUCAUUUUAAAAUUCAAAAUCAAAACCAUUUUGAAAUUUGCACACUGACCCAAGAUUAAAAUUACAAUCAGAGGCUCCCAAUUUCAAAAAUUAUAAACAGGACCUCCAAUUUCUUUAAAUUAUAAAAAGGGCCCCUAUUGUUAUUUACAGAAAUGCCCCCGGUAGUGGAAUUGCAAGCAAGGGUCCUCAAUAUCAACCUUUUGCAAGAUAACCAUUAUCUUAAAAUUUUAACAAAUGGACCCCAACAUCAUAUUGCAACCGGGCCCCCACAAUUACAUUAAUUGCAGAGAAGACCCCCGUCUCCACCAACCUGCAACCCGAAUGCAAACCCUAGAAAUUUUUUUUUUUUUUUAUUUCUUUUGGAUCGCCCCUUCCAGUCACCGCGCGGCAGCAGGUGCUCCAUUGGAGCAGCGCCCGGCGCUGCCAAACCUUGGGCAGCAGGCCUGCUGCCCAACGCCGGCGACCGGCCAGUCUGUCCCUCCACAAUUUUUUUUUAUUUAUAUUCCAAUCCGAAAAUAUUAUUUUCAUUCUCAAAACCAAUUUUGAAUACGAAAAUUAAUUUUCUCAAUUGCUAGAAACAUGAAAAACAAUAACAAUCAAAGAUCAAUUCCUAACAAACACAAAGUAGGCUCUGAUACCACUGUUGGGAAUCUACUUAUACAUGCACAGCGAAAUUUAAAAUAUAUUUCGAUUCCCAUCCAAUAGAUCUCAUUGUGUUUGGUUAGGAAUUGUGAUAGGAUUGUACCUUUUUCAGAUCUGCAAUCCUUUUGCUUUUCUUUUCGUUCCACAACUUUGAUUCGCCACCACAGCUGUCCAAUUGUCCAGCCUCCAACGGUGAUCCACACAGAGAAUUUGAUUGCAGCCUCUAGGGUUUUCUCUUGUGCUAGCAAGAAUAAUGAAAACCUUAAUGGACCUCAAACCCUAGUUAUGUAUUUAUAUAAACCCAAAUAGGCUCGGCCCGGUCCGGCCCAAUAAUUAAUUAAUCCAAUUAAUUAAAN